rnacentral:lncRNA from 1 species
GCGGGCGCGGGCUCAAACAGCCCGAAGCGGGAGGGGAGGAGGCUUACCGGGCUAACUCGCCUCGGCUUGGGGCUGUGUAGGGGCAGCAGGUCAUUUGGCAGUGGUGGGGCAUGCGGCCCCCCAUCUUCCAGGAUGUAGAGUAUAGCGCCACCAGCCUAGAGGUUCUAAGGCUUGGAGACUAAGGAAGACCCUAGCCAGUACAGUACACCUGCUGACAGAGAGUUCACUCUUUCGUUUCCAAGAUGCCACGUUGUGAGUUGCUGAUGAACAACUGGGGCAUCUGGAAGUCUGUUGGUAGUCUGUGACCUCUGACAGCUGCAGGUUCCUUUCAAGACUCUUCAUAUGGUAAACUGGCCCAAAGGAGCCUCCUUACCUGAACAAGCUGUCUCGACCUAAAUCAUUGGUCAGCCACACCCUGGCCCUAGGAUACAGAGGGCCAAAGAAGGCCAAGCCUGGCAGACACUGAAAAUAUGCUUUUAAGAAGAGGCUCUCCCCCUAGACACAGAGGAACCUCACAUUCAAAAGGAACCUUGGACAUCACAGGCUUGUGCUGUUCAUUCCGAGAGCUACAACAAAAACAGAAACCAGAGGCAAGAGAGAGAACUUGGCUGGAAAAUGGGAAGAUCUAGAAGUAUCUACAAAUAACCCCAGAGCAUCAUCUCUACCUUCUGUAGGCGUGUCUACAGAUUGGGUAUCUAGAAGGAUUGUACAAGAAAUAAAAGCAGGAGAAAUAAAAGUAGAAACUUAUAGUGAGGCCAUUCAUUUGCCUGUAAAUACAUUUAAUAGCUUCCCAGACUCUUCAGCAAAUGCACAUGUGUCUAUGGUCACCUUCAGAGCAAGCCUGGGUUUUCAAAUCUGUUACCUAUUCUAAGCUGGGUAUUCCCCCAUGGGACUUAAAAGAAGUACAUGAGAGGAAGACCACAAGCACACAAACUAAAAAAACAAAAAUGAAGUCCAGGGAGACUGAAAGGCUGUCUACGCAGAUGUCAGCAGUGUCACAGUGUCACUGAGCUUCACCUUUCUCCAGCCCCAGCCUGGACCUAAUGAACCCUGAGACUCACAUUACAAAAAGGAAUUACGAAUCUGUUGGGAGAUUCAGUAAUGCCUCCCUAAGUGAUGUGGCGUCCUCUGGUGGCGUCUUCUGGUAGACCACUACUUGGUGACUAUUCAAAGGGAGGCUGACUCAUUCAGUUGAGACCUGAAAAUCCUGAAGAACAUUUCACAGUCAAACAAACAAUGUAAGCACGGGAAAGGGAACGAUGGGUUUGGGUGAUAGUCGUUAGAGGACACAUGCUGACUACAGUUAAUAAUGGUUAGUAAACUUGAGAAGGGACACCAAGGGUUCUGACCACAGAUGCAUACAAGAAAAAGGUAAUAUCUAAUCAGCUUGAGUUCACCAGCUAUUCAUCCCACAAAAAAUAAAUAUUUCAAAUAAUGCUGUGCAAUAUACAUACAUACAAUUUUUGUCUGUUUAAAUGUUAAAGCUGGAGAGAUGCCCCGGCGGCUCAGGGCAUGUGUGGCUCCUAAAAGACCCUACUUUGUUUCCCAGCACCCACAUAAUGGCUCACAACCAUCUGGAACUCUAGUUCUGAGAAAUCCGGUGCCCUCUGCUAAUCUCUUAAGGCAUCAACCACUCAUGUGGUUCACAUAUAGGCAUGCAGAUAAAACGCUCGCCCAUAAAAUGAAUAAAUUAAAUGCUUUAAGUAAAAGUAAAGAGAAAUAUCAUAUCCAAGAUGAUAUCAACUUUUCACUUAUGAAUUCUGUACCAUAUAAAGUGUUGGUAUGAAGGUAGAUGGCCCAGUUCAUGUUCUUUCCACAACACAAUCUAAUGCUC